UACAGAGGUCUCGAGCGUUAGGCGGAAUCACUGGGCUUAAAGCGUGUGUAGGCGGAUUGCUAAGUACCUUGUGAAAUCCCACGGCUUAACCGUGGAACUGCUUGGUAUACUGGCUGUCUUGAGCCACUUAGGGGCAACCGGAACAAACGGUGGAGCGGUGAAAUGCGUAGAUAUCGUUUGGAACGCCAAUGGUGAAAACAGGUUGCUGGGAGUGUGCUGACGCUGAGACACGAAGGCCAGGGGAGCAAACGGG
rnacentral:rRNA from 1 species